GAUCAAUUAAUCAGUGAAUCUGACAAUCAUCACCUGGCUGCUACAAGGCACAAACGCUGAAGUUUUCAGCGUUUUCAUUUUCAUGACUUCUUCACGGUCCACAUCGCUGUGACACAGAAUCUAUAGGAGCCACUUCAGCUACAAACAACGAUUAAAUAAUCACAGAAGAGCUUCAGUACUGGGCCGAUCACAAUGGAUUCUUUAGUACGUAACACUUCUGAUGAUGACUUUGACGUCACUGUGAGAUCCAAAACAUCACAGGGCUAGACUUCACGCUAAUCAUGCAGAAAAGAGAAAAAAAGAAGUUCAAGUUAAAAGAAAAAAAUUAUUUGGAGAAAAAAAAAGCAUUUUAGCUGGUUUAUGGGUACCAAAACCAUCAGAACCAUUUAAAAACGAGGGAUUGUCAAACUGAAUAAGAAAGUGGCGUUGUUCUGGCCCGGUGAUGCCGGGAGAAGGAGCGUGGGGUGUCCUCCUCCUGCUGUGACUCACAGGUGGAGAGAUCGGGAGCAGCCAGCGAGCUGGAUAGAUUCUCCAGAUUCUUUAAAUUGGCAAUUAGCUUUAAUGAGUGCUUUAAUUUUAAUGAGAGGCUUCCAGAUCUUAGUUCAUUCAUUCAUUUCACGUGUGACACCACCACCACCACCCUGUUCACCCCGUCCCUCCCCCCAGCUGUAACAUGAAGCCUGUUUGGAGAGUGCUGACUAACAGUUCGCUGACCUUCCACCCAGUCGAACCUGAUUUGUUCCACGUAACCCACCCCGCCAGCUACCCUUUUUUUUUAAUUAAUUUCUUUUAUUUUUUUUUCCCUCUGGCAUGUCAGUCCGUCUUAUGUUAAUGAAGCUCUGAUUUCACUGCAGUCAGAAGCAUCCGAGCCUUAACGAUCUGCAGCCCACAGCCACAGCCCCAAUUAGAGUGCAGUGUGGACUCAGCGUGGAGUCGGCCACAGAAAUGAGCUGGAGCAGAAACCUGAGGGUUUAUGAACACCACAGGCGGACCUGCAACACGAGGACGUCACAUCCAACAGAGUUUUACAACAAGUAUCCUCUGCACUAACAAGAAAACACACCAUCUAGAGAAAGUGGUCAGUGCAAAGCUUCUCUGUAAUGCUGAAACACACUGAAAACAGCACUGAAGACAAUUCUGUCACAGACUGAGACAAAGGACUGUGCAGUUAUUGGCCUCUUUCUUGGAAGUUUAUUUAAAAUUGUGCUGAUUUGGUUCUGCUGCACAGAAGAAAAAUGUCCCACCUACAAGACAUUCCUGCUGUGAACAGCAGAGCUGUGAGUCAAGUUAUGCUCUCCUUCACUGGUGACAAGCAUGCUCACUUUGUGAUCUAGACAUGGACCAACCUGCAUUCAUCAUCAAACAUCAGUGGACGUCUUCUGUUUGGUGCACAAUUACCGGUCAGCUGUACCAAACCAUCUUAAAGUGUAUAAAGAAGAUAUGCAGUUUGUGUAAUGUAGCUGAGGGGUUAAUCAGAGUAGCAGUGUUUCUGCUGAUGGAAGCAACCUUUCAUUUUAUUCAAAUCUUUGUACAAUUAAUGCAAAUCAAAAACAUAAAACCUUUAAAAUAUUUUUUACUCUUGUUUCCGACAAGAAAGGUGAUUUAUAGAGCAGAUGUCUGUGCUUCAGCAAAGACACGUCAUUUAAUUUGGACUUAAUUAGGCUGUUUUGUCAUUUAAUUGGAAGGAACUGUUGGCCAACGAUAUCGGGCUGACGAUCUCCUCUAGAAUUUAAAAUAAAUUUGUAUUGAUUUCAACAAAGUUUGGCUCGACAGUCUGAGUCUGCAUCGACUGACCAAAUGUGUCCAAGUUGGGUUUCCAAGUCUGGCUGCAGACCUCUGAAUCACCGCCAGCCUUUCCUACUUGUUCAUUAUGCUCUUUGACGCUCUGCCCUCCGUUACGGAAACAACUGAGUCACUUAAAGCUUCAGGAUUGUGAUUCGAGGCAUCAUCUUCCUGUGCACGAGCCAGAGGAACGUCUGGGAAAAUGUAGCUACAGAAGUUGUUGUAAAUCACAGUAAAACUAAGUUAACAGCAGCUUUGUGUUAACUGAAAGUGUCAGCGUUACCAGGGUCGAUACAUCAAUAGUCUGCUGGCCAGCCAGAGCAAAAUGACGGCGAACACAAACACCAUGUCAGGCUGAAUAAAUGAUGUUAAGCACAUGCACAUUUAUUUAAGAACAAGCACCUGGUGAGCGCAGCUUAACAAACUCGGCCCAAAUCAGAGUGUCCAACUGGAUAAACUGAUUAAAGUCACAUCAGGAUUAGUUUUAAAUCAUGAUCAUUUAUUCUUAAUCUCUGGCUUAUUUCUCAGUCUGUCUUUUGUCCCCUCACCCCAAGCCGUGAUGGCUGCCCUUCCCUGAGCCUGGAUCUGCCUGUGUUUCUUUCUGUUAAAAAGGGGU